rnacentral:rRNA from 1 species
UGGGGAAUAUUGGGCAAUGGGCGCAAGCCUGACCCAGCAACGCCGCGUGAAGGAAGAAGGCCCUCGGGUUGUAAACUUCUUUUAUUCGGGACGAAACAAAUGACGGUACCGAAUGAAUAAGCCACGGCUAACUACGUGCCAGCAGCCGCGGUAAUACGUAGGUGGCAAGCGUUAUCCGGAUUUACUGGGUGUAAAGGGCGUGUAGGCGGGAGAGCAAGUCAGACGUGAAAUUCCAGGGCUCAACCCUGGAACUGCGUUUGAAACUGUUCUUCUUGAGUGAUGGAGAGGCAGGCGGAAUUCCGUGUGUAGCGGUGAAAUGCGUAGAUAUACGGAGGAACACCAGUGGCGAAGGCGGCCUGCUGGACAUUAACUGACGCUGAGGCGCGAAAGCGUGGGGAGC